rnacentral:tRNA from 1 species
GGGGGCGGAUGUAGCCAAGUGGUUAAGGCAGUGGAUUGUGAAUCCACCA